CUGCACACAGUAGGCGCCAUCUAAGUGACCAGCACCGGAGACAACACGGUCUUCUGACUCCGCUCUCCAGGGAUCCUCAGAGGUUCAAUUGCACCAUGCGGUUUCUCUCCGUCUUUCUUGCUCUUCUUGUGGCACUCUCCCAGGCCACAUGGGUGGAUGAACCACAGUAUCAGAUAGACUGCUCCCAAUUCAAAGGUGUCUGCAGGAAGCCAAAGGGCCUGCAAUGCGUGUUCCUGCCUGCAAGAUGCAAAAAUGCCAAGAAAGUUUGCUGCCUGAAGAUAACAUAGAGUAUUAGUCCCCACCCACAAGAUUCGGUGGAGACAGACAACUCAGUGACCCAGCGUGGAAUAAACCUACGCACCCCUGG